rnacentral:rRNA from 1 species
UACGUAGGAGGCGAGCGUUAUCCGGAUUCACUGGGCGUAAAGCGCAUGUAGGCGGCUGGACAAGUCGUGUGUUAAAGCCCCUGGCUCAACUGGGGGAGGUCAUGCGAGACUGUACGGCUGGAGGGCAGCAGAGGAACGUGGAACUCCCGGUGUAGCGGUGGAAUGCGUAGAGAUCGGGAAGAACACCAGUGGCGAAGGCGACGUGCUGGGUUGCACCUGACGCUGAGAUGCGAAAGUGUGGGGAGCAAACGGG